AGUGAACGCUGGCGGUAGGCCUAACACAUGCAAGUCGAACGGCAGCACAGUAAGAGCUUGCUCUUACGGGUGGCGAGUGGCGGACGGGUGAGGAAUACAUCGGAAUCUACUUUUUCGUGGGGGAUAACGUAGGGAAACUUACGCUAAUACCGCAUACGACCUACGGGUGAAAGCAGGGGAUCCUCGGACCUUGCGCAAUUGAAUGAGCCGAUGUCGGAUUAGCUAGUUGGCGGGGUAAAGGCCCACCAAGGCGACGAUCCGUAGCUGGUCUGAGAGGAUGAUCAGCCACACUGGAACUGAGACACGGUCCAGACUCCUACGGGAGGCAGCAGUGGGGAAUAUUGGACAAUGGGCGCAAGCCUGAUCCAGCCAUACCGCGUGGGUGAAGAAGGCCUUCGGGUUGUAAAGCCCUUUUGUUGGGAAAGAAAAGCAGCAGGUUAAUACCCCGCUGUUCUGACGGUACCCAAAGAAUAAGCACCGGCUAACUUCGUG
rnacentral:rRNA from 1 species